GAAGGCAGGACCCUCUCUUGAAUUGGAAAAUGUAAACUCCCCCUCUCCAAAUUAUUAUAAUUUUGAAAUUAAGGAGCUCU